GCGCGCGAUUUACGAAUAUUCGUUAAUGCCGUCUCCAGAGUCGGCAAAUCCCGCGCAAUAUUUCUCCUGCGAGAAGACGUCCUCCCUGUUGUGUCAUCAACCACUCCGAAGUUGCUACUGCUUGCUGUAAGCUUGCUCUCCUGGCGACCUAACGCAACGCCUACACUCUCACCGUACAACGUAACGCAAUGCAAGCCGGUUACGCCACUGACGAGUGCAUUGUGCAGCCGUGGUGAGUAAACGAGUCACGCUGCGUCACGCUUCAGCCCGCCGCCGCCGCCACCGCCGCCACCGUGCCGUCACCGUCACGCGGCGGCAGUAGCCCUUCUUCUCCUGUGCAAACACCCCCCGUCACGUCAUGCGUACACGCGGGGUGAAUUGCGUUACGUCGCCUCCGGUUUGCGUCGCGGGGCCCCGCACUUGCGCCGGCUAAUAACGAUCACCAGGGACGCGGUGAGCAUAAUGAGGUUGACAAGUCGUCGACGAUGAUGAUGAACUGCGCCGGCGAUAAAAGCGAGGGGGUUGAAACAGUUCCAUCGUGGCCCUCGCCGCCAAGGAGAUUCGACACGGCCAGCUGGAGCAGCGCGCUGUUCCGCCUUCGUCUUCUUUCUCUGUAUUUCCGGGGGAUGAGACCGCCGAUUGUGCAUGGGCGUUCGCAACGGGGGGCAAACUUACGUUAAAUGCACCGCAACAUUAAACUAACUCGGCGGCUCAAUUUUACAUUUACAUAGGCAUGUAAAUGUCGAAGCAGUAUGUUUUUUUUUAUUUCUUGAAACUAAACAUUUUUUAAACAACAGUGACACGUUUGCAAGAAUUAAACAUACAUGAAAAAAAAAAGAGGUAUUUAAUUUUAAGAUAAUAAAAUGUUCUAUUUCCGUCUUUGUUAAAUAUUUAAAAAUGUGUUUAAAAAAUAUUUAGAUUUAAACUAUUUCAGCUGUUAACGAUUUCAACGGAGACAGAAAUAAAACAUUUUCAUAUCUUAAAGUUAAAUGCUUCGCUUUUGAAUAACAUUUAAGACCGGACUUUUUUAUUAAUUUCUAUGUUAGUCUGAAAGUAUUUUUAUCGAAUUUUUUACUUAAUCUUUGUCAAUAUAAGUUUUGAAUAAAAUUUGAGAUAGUUCAAGUUUUAUUUAACUUAAGAUUUUCUACAACAUCACGAAAAGAGUUCGUGUAGACGCCUAUGCCCGCGUGUUGACGUGUUGCGUUAUGAUGAGCGUAUAGAGUCGAUCAUCCUGCAUAUACAUGUUUUAUAUGGAUGACUUUCGCGUUUUACGUUGGGUAUACCGUGAACCCUCCUUGUCGAACUCAAGUGGCCGUACCGCGAGAGAAUCUCUUUAUUAUGCGAAGGCCGAAUUUUUAUUCAUAAGGGACGAUUGUACGAUUUUGGGGAUGAACACAUUCCGGAGAUUCAUCUUCCUGCAUUUCACAUACUUCACUUUUAUAAAUAAAUAAGUUUGUAUAAUUUAGUAUAAUUUAUAAUUUAAAUUAGUAUAUUUUAAAUUAAUAUAACUCUCAGAAUACGCGCAAAAAUCAACCACAUGAUCAUUAAAUCAAUUAUUAUAAAUUUUAAAAUAAAGAAAAAUUUAUUUUAAAAUAUUGGUUGAGAUAUUGCAUUAGGAUAAACGAAAUUUUCUGUAAGUAUCAAAUGUGGUCAAUAUGAAUAUUGAUAUUUACCGCAUGUGGUGCAGGCGGAGAGGAAUGUACGCUCAGCAGAUAACUGUUCGAGAUGAAAGUUGCAGGCUCUCGAUGUCCCCGGGUUUUAACCGCUCGUUGAUAAAGAAAGGAUCUCUAAAUCUGAAUAUGUAGCGCAAGAUCACAGAAGAGAAAUUAAUAAUGCAGCUGCUGAAUACAGAUAGUCGCCGAUAAAUGAAAUCUCCAAUCAUAAUUUUUAGAUUUGGUUUUAUAAAAAAAUAUGUCUCUUAAAAGAAAACAAGUAAAUUUUGUUAUUUCUACUUUGUACCGAAUUACAAAUAUUUCUAUUGUUUGAUGCUCAAAAUAAUAAAUUGUUUGUUAUAUCAAAAUAUUUCAAACUAUUAAAUAAAUUCUGACAUAGUGUCAUGAUUCUUUACACGACAUUGUAGAAAAGGAAGAAAUGAUAAUAAAAUACGUUAUCUUGAA